rnacentral:rRNA from 1 species
UCGACGCAUUCUUCGGAAUGAGUGGCGCACGGCUGAGGAACACGUGACUAACCUACCCCGGUGUGGGGGAUAACGGGUCGAAAGACUCGCUAAUCCCGCAUACGAUCCGCCUCGGCGGAGGAAAGCCGUAAGGCGCACUGGGCGGGGGUCGCGUCCCAUUAGAUAGUUGGUGUGGUAAUGGCGCACCAAGUCGAUGAUGGGUCUCUGGUCUGAGAGGACGACCAGACAGAUUGGGACUGAGACACGGCCCAAACUCCUACGGGGGGCAGCAGCAAGGAAUUUUCGGCAAUGGGCGCAAGCCUGACCGAGCAACGCCGCGUGGAGGAUGACGGCUCUUGGGUUGUAAACUCCUUUUGGGGGGGACGAUAAUGACGGUACCCUCCGAAUCAGGCCCGGCUAACUACGUGCCAGCAGCCGCGGUAAUACGUAGGGGCCAAGCGUUGUCCGGAAUUACUGGGCGUAAAGCGUGGGUAGGUGGUCGGUGAUGUGCCGCGUGAAAGCGCCGGAGUAAUGCCGGCGAGGUCGCGGUAGACGCACGGACUCGAGGCUCGCAGAGGAACGUGGAAUUCCCGGUGUAGUGGUGAAAUGCGUAGAUAUCGGGAGGAACACCAGUGGCGCAAGCGGCGUUCUGGGCGAGACCUGACACUGAGCCACGACGGCGUGGGGAGCAAACAGGAUUAGAUACCCUGGUAGUCCACGCAGUAAACGAUGCAUACCAGGUGUGGGAUGGCGUUCGCGUCGUUCCGUGCCGCAGCUUACGCGAUGAGUAUGCCGCCUGGGGACUACGAGCGCAAGCUUA